UACGGAGGGUGCAAGCGUUAUCCGGAUUUAUUGGGUUUAAAGGGUCCGUAGGCGGCCGAAUAAGUCAGUGGUGAAAGCCUAUCGCUUAACGAUAGAACUGCCAUUGAUACUGUUUGGCUUGAGUGUGGUUGAAGUAGCUGGAAUGUGUAGUGUAGCGGUGAAAUGCUUAGAUAUUACACAGAACACCAAUUGCGAAGGCAGGUUACUAAGCCACAACUGACGCUGAGGGACGAAAGCGUGGGGAGCGAACAGG
rnacentral:rRNA from 1 species